AACGAACGCUGGCGGCAGGCCUAACACAUGCAAGUCGAGCGCCCUUUCGGGGGAGCGGCGGACGGGUGAGUAACGCGUGGGAAUAUGCCCUUCUCUACGGAAUAGCCUCGGGAAACUGAGAGUAAUACCGUAUACGCCCUGUGGGGGAAAGAUUUAUCGGGGAAGGAUUAGCCCGCGUUGGAUUAGGUAGUUGGUGGGGUAAUGGCCUACCAAGCCGACGAUCCAUAGCUGGUUUGAGAGGAUGAUCAGCCACACUGGGACUGAGACACGGCCCAGACUCCUACGGGAGGCAGCAGUGGGGAAUCUUAGACAAUGGGGGCAACCCUGAUCUAGCCAUGCCGCGUGAGUGAUGAAGGCCUUAGGGUUGUAAAGCUCUUUCAGCUGGGAAGAAAAUGACGGUACCAGCAGAAGAAGCCCCGGCUAACUCCGUG
rnacentral:rRNA from 1 species